CGCGGCCUAUCAGCUUGUUGGUGAGGUAACGGCUCACCAAGGCAUCGACGGGUAGCUGGUCUGAGAGGAUGAUCAGCCACACUGGGACUGAGACACGGCCCAGACUCCUACGGGAGGCAGCAGUGGGGAAUAUUGCACAAUGGGCGAAAGCCUGAUGCAGCAACGCCGCGUGCGGGAAGAAGGCCCUAGGGUUGUAAACCGCUUUCAGCAGGGAAGAAACUGACGGUACCUGCAGAAGAAGGUGCGGCCAACUACGUGCUAGCAGCCGCGGUGACACGUAGGCACCAAGCGUUGUCCGGAUUUAUUGGGCGUAAAGAGCUCGUAGGCGGUUCAGUAAGUCGGGUGUGAAAACUCUGGGCUCAACCCAGAGACGCCACCCGAUACUGCUGUGACUUGAGUACGGUAGGGGAGCGGGGAAUUCCUGGUGUAGCGGUGAAAUGCGCAGAUAUCAGGAGGAACACCAGUGGCGAAGGCGCCGCUCUGGGCCGUAACUGACGCUGAGGAGCGAAAGCGUGGGUAGCAAACAGGAUUAGAUACCCUGGUAGUCCACGCCGUAAACGUUGGGCACUAGGUGUGGGUCUCAACCAACGAGAUCCGCGCCGUCGCUAACGCAUUAAGUGCCCCGCCUGGGGAGUACGG
rnacentral:rRNA from 1 species